rnacentral:rRNA from 1 species
UACGUAGGUGGCGAGCGUUGUCCGGAUUUACUGGGCGUAAAGCGCGCGCAGGCGGUUCGUUAAGUCCGGUGUGAAAGCUCCCGGCUCAACUGGGAGAGGUCAUUGGAUACUGGCGGACUCGAGGGAUGCAGAGGAAGGUGGAAUUCCCGGUGUAGUGGUGAAAUGCGUAGAGAUCGGGAGGAACACCAGUGGCGAAGGCGGCCUUCUGGGCAUUUCCUGACGCUGAGGCGCGAAAGCGUGGGGAGCGAACCGGAUUAGAUACCCGGGUAGUCCACGCUGUAAACGAUGCUCACUAGAUGUGGGGGGUAUCGACCCCCUCCGCGUCGAAGCUAACGCGAUAAGUGAGCCGCCUGGGGACUACGGCCGCAAGGCUAAA